rnacentral:pre_miRNA from 1 species
GAUGAAAUCUCUCUUAAUGGCACUGGAAGAAUUCACGGGGCCUUGUUUGUAUAAGCAUAUAUAUUUAUGAUUACAAAAAUGAGACAUUGUAUUCCUCUCGUGGAUCUCCCGUUCCAUACAGAGCGAUUCUUC